GACGAACGCUGGCGGCGUGCUCAACACAUGCAAGUCGAACGAAGAGCGAUGGAAGCUUGCUUCUAUCAAUCUUAGUGGCGAACGGGUGUGUAACGCGUAAUCAACCUGCCCUUCAGUGGGGUACAACAGUUGGAAACGACUGCUAAUACCGCAUACGAUCUAAUCUCGGCAUCGAGGAUAGAUGAAAGGUGUCCUCUACAUUUAAGCUAUCACUUAAGGAGGGUAUUGCGUCUGAUUCGCUAGUUGGAGGGGUAACGGCCCACCAAGGCGAAGAUUAGUAGCCGGUAGGAGAGGAUGAACUGCCAAAUUGGGACUGAGAACAGGCCCAGGCUCCUACGGGAGGCAGCAGUGGGGAAUCUUCCGCAAUGGAAGAAAGUCUGACGGAGCAAAGCCGCGUGAGUGAUGAAGGCCUUCGGGUUGUAAAGCUCUGUUAAUCGGGAGGAAAGGCAUUCUUGCGAAUAGUGAGAAGGAUUGACGGUACCGGAAUAGAAAGCCACGGCUAACUACGUG
rnacentral:rRNA from 1 species